rnacentral:rRNA from 1 species
UACGUAGGUGGCAAGCGUUGUCCGGAUUUACUGGGCGUAAAGAGCGCGCAGGCGGUCGUGCAAGUCGGGUGUGAAAGCCCUCAGCUCAACUGAGGAAGUGCGCCCGAAACUGCAGAGCUUGAGUGCCGGAGAGGGUGGCGGAAUUCCCCAAGUAGAGGUGAAAUUCGUAGAUAUGGGGAGGAACACCGGUGGCGAAGGCGGCCACCUGGACGGUAACUGACGCUGAGACGCGAAAGCGUGGGGAGCAAACAGG